CCCACCAUAUCCUCCGGAAUGAUGGGUCCACUGAGAGGACCGCCCCUGUCAAAUCGGAGGAAGGAACGGGCCACGGUAGGUCAGUAUGCCCCGAAUCUCCUGGGCUACACGCGGGCUACAAUGGCUAGGACCUUUAAGGGCGACCUCGAAAAGGGCAGGUAAUCUUCUAAACCCUUUAAUAUGUGGGAUUGAGGGCUGGAACUCGCCCUCAUGAAGCUGGAAUCCGUAGUAAUCGCGUUCCAUCUCGCGCGGAAU
rnacentral:rRNA from 1 species